GGGCUGAUACCAUGCUUCCAGGAAAAGUCUCUAAGCUUCAGUUACAUAGGAAUCGUACCCGAAACCGACACAGGUGGUCAGGUCGAGUAGACCAAAGCGCUUGAGAGAACUCUGCUGAAGGAACUAGGCAAAAUGGUACCGUAACUUCGGGAGAAGGUACGCUGCCGACGGUGAUAGGAUUUACUCCUUGAGCUAUUGGCAGCCACAGAAACCAGGCCCCUGCAACUGUUUAUUAAAAACAUAGCACUCUGCAAACACGAAAGUGGACGUAUAGGGUGUGAUGCCUGCCCGGUGCUGGAAGGUUAAUUGAUGGGGUUAGCGUAAGCGAAGCUCUUGAUCGAAGCCCCAGUAAACGGCGGCCGUAACGAUAACGGUCCUAAGGUAGCGAAAUUCCUUGUCGGGUAAGUUCCGACCUGCACGAAUGGCAUAAUGAUGGGGGCGCUGUCUCCAGCAGAGACUCAGUGAAAUCGAAUUCGCCGUGAAGAUGCGGUGUACCCGCGGCUAGACGGAAAGACCCCGUGAACCUUUACUGCAGCUUGACAUUGAACUUUGAUCUUACUUGUGUAGGAUAGGUGGGAGGCUUUGAAACCGAGACGCUAGUUUCGGUGGAGCCAAUCUUGAAAUACCACCCUGGUAAUAUUGAGGUUCUAACUCUGUCCCGUUAUCCGGGACGAGGACCAUGUCUGGUGGGUAGUUUGACUGGGGCGGUCUCCUCCUAAAGAGUAACGGAGGAGUACGAAGGUGCGCUCAGCGUGGUCGGAAAUCACGCGUAGAGUAUAAAGGCAAAAGCGCGCUUAACUGCGAGACCCACAAGUCGAGCAGGUACGAAAGUAGGUCUUAGUGAUCCGGUGGUUCUGUAUGGAAGGGCCAUCGCUCAACGGAUAAAAGGUACUCUGGGGACAACAGGCUGAUACCGCCCAAGAGUUCAUAUCGACGGCGGUGUUUGGCACCUCGAUGUCGGCUCAUCUCAUCCUGGGGCUGAAGCAGGUCCCAAGGGUAUGGCUGUUCGCCAUUUAAAGAGGUACGCGAGCUGGGUUUAGAACGUCGUGAGACAGUUCGGUCCCUAUCUACCGUGGGCGUUGGAAAUUUGAGAGAAUCUGCUCCUAGUACGAGAGGACCAGAGUGGACGAACCUCUGGUGUACCGGUUGUGACGCCAGUCGCAUCGCCGGGUAGCUAUGUUCGGAAGGGAUAACCGCUGAAAGCAUCUAAGCGGGAAGCCUACCUCAAGAUAAGAUUUCCCUAGGACUUUAUGUCCUCUAAAGAGCCGUUGAAGACUACGACGUUGAUAGGUUGGAUGUGGAAGCAUAGUGAUAUGUGAAGCUGACCAAUACUAAUUGCUCGUGAGGCUUGACUAG
rnacentral:rRNA from 1 species